UUAAGUUCAGCGGGUAGUCCUACCUGAUUUCAGAUCAAGAAGUGAAAAAAGAAUGAUUCCUUUUUCUUCCUGCGAAUUUGCACAGCAAGGUCCCAAAAACCGGGUGUUCUUUUUCAGCGAAAGAAGACAAUCAAGUCAACUACUACGCUUUGUUUUCCCACCUCGGCGGUCUAGGAUCCUGUCCUGUGUACUUUCAUUUC
rnacentral:misc_RNA from 1 species